rnacentral:rRNA from 2 species
AGAGUUUGAUCAUGGCUCAGAUUGAACGCUGGCGGCAGGCCUAACACAUGCAAGUCGAACGGUAACAGGAAACAGCUUGCUGUUUCGCUGACGAGUGGCGGACGGGUGAGUAAUGUCUGGGAAACUGCCUGAUGGAGGGGGAUAACUACUGGAAACGGUAGCUAAUACCGCAUAACGUCGCAAGACCAAAGAGGGGGACCUUCGGGCCUCUUGCCAUCGGAUGUGCCCAGAUGGGAUUAGCUUGUUGGUGGGGUAACGGCUCACCAAGGCGACGAUCCCUAGCUGGUCUGAGAGGAUGACCAGCCACACUGGAACUGAGACACGGUCCAGACUCCUACGGGAGGCAGCAGUGGGGAAUAUUGCACAAUGGGCGCAAGCCUGAUGCAGCCAUGCCGCGUGUAUGAAGAAGGCCUUCGGGUUGUAAAGUACUUUCAGCGGGGAGGAAGGGAGUAAAGUUAAUACCUUUGCUCAUUGACGUUACCCGCAGAAGAAGCACCGGCUAACUCCGUGCCAGCAGCCGCGGUAAUACGGAGGGUGCAAGCGUUAAUCGGAAUUACUGGGCGUAAAGCGCACGCAGGCGGUUUGUUAAGUCAGAUGUGAAAUCCCCGGGCUCAACCUGGGAACUGCAUCUGAUACUGGCAAGCUUGAGUCUCGUAGAGGGGGGUAGAAUUCCAGGUGUAGCGGUGAAAUGCGUAGAGAUCUGGAGGAAUACCGGUGGCGAAGGCGGCCCCCUGGACGAAGACUGACGCUCAGGUGCGAAAGCGUGGGGAGCAAACAGGAUUAGAUACCCUGGUAGUCCACGCCGUAAACGAUGUCGACUUGGAGGUUGUGCCCUUGAGGCGUGGCUUCCGGAGCUAACGCGUUAAGUCGACCGCCUGGGGAGUACGGCCGCAAGGUUAAAACUCAAAUGAAUUGACGGGGGCCCGCACAAGCGGUGGAGCAUGUGGUUUAAUUCGAUGCAACGCGAAGAACCUUACCUGGUCUUGACAUCCACAGAACUUUCCAGAGAUGGAUUGGUGCCUUCGGGAGCUGUGAGACAGGUGCUGCAUGGCUGUCGUCAGCUCGUGUUGUGAAAUGUUGGGUUAAGUCCCGCAACGAGCGCAACCCUUAUCCUUUGUUGCCAGCGGUCCGGCCGGGAACUCAAAGGAGACUGCCAGUGAUAAACUGGAGGAAGGUGGGGAUGACGUCAAGUCAUCAUGGCCCUUACGACCAGGGCUACACACGUGCUACAAUGGCGCAUACAAAGAGAAGCGACCUCGCGAGAGCAAGCGGACCUCAUAAAGUGCGUCGUAGUCCGGAUUGGAGUCUGCAACUCGACUCCAUGAAGUCGGAAUCGCUAGUAAUCGUGGAUCAGAAUGCCACGGUGAAUACGUUCCCGGGCCUUGUACACACCGCCCGUCACACCAUGGGAGUGGGUUGCAAAAGAAGUAGGUAGCUUAACCUUCGGGAGGGCGCUUACCACUUUGUGAUUCAUGACUGGGGUGAAGUCGUAACAAGGUAACCGUAGGGGAACCUGCGGUUGGAUCACCU